rnacentral:lncRNA from 1 species
UUUUUGAAUACCUUAGCAGUUAAAUACCUGACAUUUUGAUUAUAUUUCAAUAGUUCCAAAUGAAAAAGAAACUCAGGUUACUAAAUAUGUAAACUUAAAUUACACAAAAACUAGAGGUAAUAAUCUUGAAGUAAAAAGGAUAUUUUGAAUAUAGUGACUAUAGUUUCUACUUCAGUAUGUAAAGUUAUCUGUGGUAAAGGAAUCUCCCCCAGAAGGUUUAUCUGCCCUCACACUCUACCUUCCAACUUUGGCUGUGUUUUUUAAUCCAUAAAGAAGAAAAAGAAAUUUUAGAGAUGGUAAAAUUAGUUAAGAAAUGAAAAAAAUUAGUGGAAAGUAAUGAAGACUGAUUUGAGGGUGCUGUUUCAGUGGUGUUUCUGUAUCUGGUCUCCUUACAAGCCUAGACUCUUGAAGCUUGUGUGUUCCAAAGUGAAGCAGAGUGAUCCUCUUCCACCUGGGCGACCCAGAGACUUCUCUAUUUAUUAGCAAAGGAUGUUAAUUCAUUACAACCCGAACACAAUAAAGUACUCUUUAACUGGACUGGAGUUUUCUCCUCUGUAGUUAUCUUUCUUUAAAAUUUAAGAACAGCAAUUUGGUAGCUGAGGUCAGAGCUUUAAAACAUUUGACAGUGUUUUUCUUCAAGAGCCAUUUGUCUAGGGGAAACACAAAGAAACAAAGAUAUUGCCAUCUAGUGGUUUAGUUGAAGAAAUUCAGUAAAAAUUUUUCUCAAAGUUUCCAUUAAUUCUUUAUGUGGUGCUAAAUGAAAAAGCAUUAGUUUUUAGAAAGCAAUGAUUAAUACACUUUUUGAAAUUAAGGUUUCGGACUUGGCCACUCUUUUUUUCUUUUCAGGUUAUAUUUCUCAUUUAUUAAGCUCAAUAGGAUAUGAAUUAGAACAGGCAAAGAUGCUGUCAUAAUUGGAGCAAAUAUAUAUAAAAGACAAUGUUUCACUGAAGAACUUGUUAAACAGCCUAAAUCAAAUCAUAAAAUCAAGUAAUCAAAUUAAUAGUUCGUAUCAAGCUUUUAAAAAGUACAGUUUAAAAUAAAUUGGUAUAUAUUAUACAUGGUCUAAAGCUAGGUUCUUAUACCAAAAUCCUUUGCUUUUAUUUAAUAUUCCAUUAUAGCAAAAUUAGCUUUGGAAAGAUAUUCCAUAAAAUAAAAUAUUAGCAUUGACUUUGAUUAUAAAAUAAGAAAUCUAUUUCUAUAAAACUCUCCAAUCCAAAAAAACUUUGACAUUUAAAUGUAUAAGAAUUAUAAGUCCAUCAGAAUUUUUACAGUACAGAUAGAAAAAUCCACAGAUAUUAUUAUCUAUUUUCUGUAUUGGUAUAUUUUUUAAGUCUGUGUAAAACGAGAUUGCUCUACUGUAUUACAGAACUAUUUAAUUUCUAAUACCAGUAUGAGAGACUAUAGUUCACAAAAAAUACUCUGACUUCAUCUGGCUGUUAUAGGGAUUUUCCCAGGUUCCCCUUGUAUUUUCAGAUGAUCAUGUACCCAGGUAUCAUCAAAAAGAAACUAAAAAAAUUCUGAGUAUUUUGACUCCACAUGUAAAGCAUUUUUACACUCUGGGGACCAUAAUGGCUUAUGCCGAAUUUAGCAGAGGAGAGCUCCUUUCUCAUCAUUGAUCAAGACAGGACCUGAUGGAAUACAUCCCAACCAGGGACAAAUAAGAUAAAGAAUGUCUUUUCAUGACAUCUUCUGGAGUAGAUAUAAAAGUCUAGAGGGGAGACAAUAAACUAGACAGACAGAGGGACAGAUAGACUCAGUUUAUAAUCCCUGUAUAAAAUGAUAAAUCAUCUGUUCUGAAAAUGUUCAUGGCUCUGACUGCCAUGCCACCCUGGGGCAGAGUGUGAGAGGUAAGGAGAAAGAAGGCAUAUUACUAUGCAUAUUCACCCUAUCCUGAAGCACCGCGUCCCCUUGUUGUUGUCAAGGGUUCAGGUUAUUACAGAUCCUGCUGUGGUUGUUCUGGAAAAUAAGAAUAGAUUCAAAGUUUAGAGCAAGAUUUGAUUUUGUCAUCUAGUAGGAAGGUUGUGCGCAGGAAGAGUGUCAUGUGAGCACAUGGGAACCAAACUGUAUGAUCAUACUCUGAAUUCCUUGGCUAACUUUGAUAAGUAUGCAAUCUAUCUUUAUAUCUACCAAAAGUGAAAGAAGAAAAUUAGCCACUGGAUUUCCUUUUGGUACAUUAAGUUACUAGAUAAGCCAAUCAAGGCAAAAUACAGUAAUUCUAAACUUCAAGAGCUAUUUGUAAAGUGUGCUAGUAACUAGCUUCAAAACGGACCACAGUAUUUCUUUGGAGGAAAUAAAACAUAAGUGUCUAUCAGUUUGUAGAAAUGUCAACCUUUUCUCUAUUUAUAGAAUAUGUAGAUCUAUUUUUUACAGGGGAUAAUUUUUUAUCUCCAAGAUCUUACUAUAAGGAGAGAACUUUGCCUUUUCUCUCUAAAAUACUGAAUUAGAAUCUGUGUGAUUGGGGUUCAGUCGUCUCUAUUGUUAACAACUCUCCAGGUCUUUCUGACAUAUGUAGGUUUGAGAAUCAUUCUUCUAGACUUUGUUAACAAAACUAGUAAGACUAAACACUUUUGAUGGAAAUGGUUUAAAGGCAAUCAAGGGUGAAAAAGCAGAACAGCAGGUCAGAUUUAAUAGUCACUUAACUAGAGGAUUGGCAGAUGACCAAGGGGAUUUCCAAUUUCUAAUACCAUUGGCACAAGGAAUGAUUUUUUAGUGAGUCUUAUUACCAUAGGUGGCAACCAGAUAAAGUCUCUGUGAAAGGGCAGAAAUAACUCAAAACUUAAACACUUGUAGUAAUUAAUUCAGAAGUUAUUUAUUUUGGUUUUUUUUAAUUUUUUAAAGAUUUAUUUAUUUAUUCAUUGAGAGAGAGAAAGAGAGAGAGAGAGGCAGAGACACAGGCAGAGGGAGAAGCAGGCUCCAUGCAGGGAACCUGAUGUGGGACUCGAUCUGGGGUCUCCAGGAUCAUGCCCUGGGCUGCAGGCGGCACUAAACCGCUGUGCCACCGGGGCUGCCCUAUUUUGUUUUUCUUUUUUUAAGAUUUUAUUUAUUUAUUCAUGAGAGACACAGAGAGAGAGGCAGAGACACAGGCAGAGGGAGAAGCAGGCUCCCUAUGGGGAGCCCGAUGCGGGAUCAUGACCUGAGCUGAAGGCACACACUCUACCACUGAGCCACCCAGGGGCCCAGGAGUUAUUUAUUGAAUACCAACUACAUGCUAGGUACUAUAUUAGGCACUAGAAUUAAAGAGAAAAAAGAAAGUUUUUCCCCUUAGGAAGCUCUUAAUAUAAUAAAAUGAUUCGUAGACUUUAGUGGGAAUAUAAAUUAGCUUGGGAACUUGUUAAGAAUGCAGAGGGUCAGUAUUUUGAUUAUGAAGAAUACCAGUCUAAUUUGUAACAGAAAAUAAAUCGACAUUUAUAAUGCAAGUGCUAAGUUUCUUGUUUUUGUUUUGUGUGUGUGUGUGUGUGUGUGUGAGAGAGAGAGAGAGAGAGAGAGAGAGAGAGCUCUAUGCAGGUUUCUAUCUCAUGACCUUGAGAUAAUGGCUUGAGCUGGAAUCAAAAGUUAGAUGCUUAACCAACUCAGACACCCAGGU